GACGAACGCUGGCGGCGUGCUUAACACAUGCAAGUCGAACGGAAAGGCCCUGCUUUUGUGGGGUGCUCGAGUGGCGAACGGGUGAGUAACACGUGAGUAACCUGCCCUUGACUUUGGGAUAACUUCAGGAAACUGGGGCUAAUACCGGAUAGGAGCUCCUGCUGCAUUGUGGGGGUUGGAAAUUUUCGGCGGUUGGGGAUGGACUCGCGGCUUAUCAGCUUGUUGGUGGGGUAGUGGCUUACCAAGGCUUUGACGGGUAGCCGGCCUGAGAGGGUGACCGGCCACAUUGGGACUGAGAUACGGCCCAGACGCCUACGGGAGGCAGCAGUGGGGAAUAUUGCACAAUGGGCGGAAGCCUGAUGCAGCAACGCCGCGUGCGGGAUGACGGCCUUCGGGUUGUAAACCGCUUUCGCCUGUGACGAAGCGUGAGUGACGGUAAUUGGUAAAGAAGCACCGGCUAACUACGU
rnacentral:rRNA from 1 species